GCAGAGAAUAGGCCCAAGCAACUGUUUAGCAAAAACACAGGUCUCUGCUAAAGCGUAAGCUGAUGUAUAGGGGCUGACGCCUGCCCGGUGCUGGAAGGUUAAGGGGAACACUUAGCGCAAGCGAAGGUGUGAACUUAAGCCCCAGUAAACGGCGGCCGUAACUAUAACGGUCCUAAGGUAGCGAAAUUCCUUGUCAGGUAAGUUCUGACCCGCACGAAUGGCGUAAUGACUUGGGCACUGUCUCAACUGUAAAUCCGGCGAAGUUGUAGUGCGAGUGAAGAUGCUCGCUACCCGCGAUUGGACGGAAAGACCCCGUAGAGCUUUACUGUAGCUUAGCAUUGAGUUUUGGUAUUGUCUGUACAGGAUAGGUGGGAGACUAGGAAACCAGGGCGUCAGCCUUGGUGGAGUCAACCUUGGGAUACCACCCUGACAGUACUGAAAUUCUAACUGGCGGCCAUGAAUCUGGUCACAGGACAUUGUUAGGUGGGCAGUUUGACUGGGGCGGUCGCCUCCUAAAAAGUAACGGAGGCGCCCAAAGGUUCCCUCAGAACGGUCGGAAAUCGUUCGAAGAGUGCAAAGGCAGAAGGGAGCCUGACUGCGACACCCACAAGUGGAGCAGGGACGAAAGUCGGGCUUAGUGAUCCGGUGGUACCUCGUGGGAGGGCCAUCGCUCAACGGAUAAAAGCUACCUCGGGGAUAACAGGCUGAUCUCCCCCAAGAGUCCACAUCGACGGGGAGGUUUGGCACCUCGAUGUCGGCUCGUCGCAUCCUGGGGCUGAAGUAGGUCCCAAGGGUU
rnacentral:rRNA from 1 species